rnacentral:rRNA from 1 species
GAUAGAGGCCUACCAUGGUGGUAACGGGUAACGGGGUGUUAGGGCACGACACCGGAGAGGGAGCCUGAGAAACGGCUACCACAUCCAAGGAUGGCAGCAGGCGCGCAAAUUACCCAAUCCCGACACGGGGAGGUAGUGACAAUAAAUAACAAUACGGGGUUCUUUCGGAUCUCGUAAUUGGAAUGAGUACAAUUUAAAUCUCUUAACGAGGAACAAUUGGAGGGCAAGUCUGGUGCCAGCAGCCGCGGUAAUUCCAGCUCCAAUAGCGUAUAUUAAAGUUGUUGCAGUUAAAAAGCUCGUAGUUGAAUUUCGGGGUUAGUAGGUUGGUCAUGCCUCUGGUAUGUACUGGUCUCACUGAUUCCUCCUUCCUGAUGAACCGUAAUGCCAUUAAUUUGGUGUUGCGGGGAAUUUGGACUGUUACUUUGAAAAAAUUAGAGUGUUUAAAGCAAGCUAACGCUUGAAUACAUUAGCAUGGAAUAAUGAAAUAGGACGUUCGAUCCUAUUUUGUUGGUUUCUAGGAUUGACGUAAUGAUUAAUAGGGAUAGUUGGGGGCAUUAGUAUUCAAUUGUCAGAGGUGAAAUUCUUGGAUUUAUUGAAGACUAACUACUGCGAAAGCAUUUGCCAAGGAUGUUUUCAUUAAUCAAGAACGAAAGUUAGGGGAUCGAAGACGAUCAGAUACCGUCGUAGUCUUAACCAUAAACUAUGCCGACUAGGG